AGAAAAGUGCUUUUCCAGUUUGAUCCUGAGGGGGGCGCUGCUUCCAUACCUGAGUGCAGAAGACCUGCAGGGAAGAAGUCAGCUGCAGUCCUUCUUCUGACACCACCUGAGGAGGAGCAGAUCAUUUGUCUCCUUCACUUCCUGACCCCACAGAGCAAGAAAGAAGAUGGACGCACCUCAGCCUGGUGGAACAGAUCCAGCGUGGUCUUCAGCAGACCCUCCCCUCUGGUGGAAGGAACACAGAGUGUUUCUGCAGGAGGCAAGGGGCGUGUCAUCAAAGGUCACGUGACCACAAGGGGGCGUGUCUCUACUGGAUACUCACCCCAGGUCGAGGAAGUGACAAAUAUGGUCGUUUGUCUCCUGGGAGCAGAAAAGAGGCAGCAGACGUCGUUGAUCUCGCGGACGAGCAGCGCCAUGUCGCCCAGCUGAGACUCCCACGCCUCGCAGAACACCUCCAGGUUCUCUUUGGCGAUCUUGCUGGACGGAUGCAGCGCCAACGUUUGGGUGGCAGAAAUGAUCUAAACAUCAACACUAUACAAAAGGAGUUACCUGCGGUCCGAUGACGUGGAAGGUCUCCUCUGCGUGCGAGCACGUUAUCUCCAGCGGCUCCGUCCCGGACACAUGACACAACAGCCGACAAUUCUGCACGCA